rnacentral:rRNA from 1 species
UAGGGAAUCUUCCGCAAUGGACGAAAGUCUGACGGAGCAACGCCGCGUGAGUGAAGAAGGUUUUCGGAUCGUAAAACUCUGUCCUUGGUGACGAAGGAAGUGACGGUAACCAAGGAGGAAGCCCCGGCUAACUACGUGCCAGCAGCCGCGGUAAUACGUAGGGGGCGAGCGUUGUCCGGAUUUACUGGGCGUAAAGGGUGAGUAGGCGGUCAUAUAAGUCAGGUGUAAAAAGCUAAGGCUUAACCAUAGUAAGCACUUGAAACUGUAUGACUUGAGUGCAGGAGAGGUAAGCGGAAUUCCUAGUGUAGCGGUGAAAUGCGUAGAUAUUAGGAGGAACACCGGUGGCGAAGGCGGCUUACUGGACUGUAACUGACGCUGAGUCACGAAAGCGUGGGUAGCAAACAGG